AUACUUACCUGGCAGGGAGAUACCAUGAUCACUAAGGUGGUUCCCCCAGGGCGAGGCUCAUCCAUUCGCGCGGGUGUGCUGAUCUCUGCGGUUCCCAAAUCAGGGAAAUUUCGAUUGCAUAAUUUGUGGUAGUGGGGACUGGUUGGCGCUCCCCCCUA